CCAUCUCUUGAGAGUGAGAAGAAACCUUUGCAAUGCCUUUACAUGGUUGGUGUUCGUAUUGGAGAGACGACUUGAUGUUGGAGGCUUGGAGCAUUAUCUAUAAGAAGAAGUUGCAAAUUUGCUUUUAUUAUGUUGUAUUUGAUUCAAGACUUGUUAGUUUUUGAAUUUUUGAUGCCUUUAGACUAUUUGAAUGUGCAUUUUCGAGUCUAAUCAAUGUUUUGGAUAUCUAAGACUUGUUAUAAUUGAUUUGUAGAAGUACUUCUCGUAAUGAAAUGCUUUGUAAUUUUAUUCAA